rnacentral:rRNA from 1 species
GAUGAACGCUGGCGGCGUGCCUAAUACAUGCAAGUCGAGCGAACAGACGAGGAGCUUACUCCUCUGACGUUAGCGGCGGACGGGUGAGUAACACGUGGAUAACCUACCUAUAAGACUGGGAUAACUUCGGGAAACCGGAGCUAAUACCGGAUAACAUGUUGAACCGCAUGGUUCAACAGUGAAAGACGGUCUUGCUGUCACUUAUAGAUGGAUCCGCGUCGCAUUAGCUAGUUGGUAAGGUAACGGCUUACCAAGGCAACGAUGCGUAGCCGACCUGAGAGGGUGAUCGGCCACACUGGAACUGAGACACGGUCCAGACUCCUACGGGAGGCAGCAGUAGGGAAUCUUCCGCAAUGGGCGAAAGCCUGACGGAGCAACGCCGCGUGAGUGAAGAAGGUCUUCGGAUCGUAAAACUCUGUUAUUAGGGAAGAACAAAUGUGUAAGUAACUAUGCACGUCUUGACGGUACCCAAUCAGAAAGCCACGGCUAACUACGUG